rnacentral:rRNA from 1 species
CCUACGGGAGGCAGCAGUGAGGAAUAUUGGUCAAUGGCCGGAAGGCUGAACCAGCCAUGCCGCGUGAAGGUCAGUGCCCUAUGGGCGUUAAACUUCUUGUGUGCGGGAGCAAUAAUGGUCACGUGUGGCCAGACGAGAGUACCGUACGAAUAAGCAUCGGCUAACUCCGUGCCAGCAGCCGCGGUAAUACGGGGGAUGCAAGCGUUAUCCGGGUUUAUUGGGUUUAAAGGGUGCGUAGGCUGGGAGGGAAGUCAGCGGUGAAAAGCCCCCGCUCAACGGGGUGAAGGGCCAUUGAUACUGGCUUUCUGGCAUGCGGAUGCCGUGGGAGGUAUGUGUGGUGUAGCGGUGAAAGGCAUA